CAGUCUGCUCAGUUACUAAAUGUCUGGAAGGAGUUCAAGAAUCGAGCCUAUGCCAGAGGAGGACCUGGGUUCAACAAAGAUCUCAUCCCAUGGUGUAAGAAUAUGAAGACGCAGCUCUGUGGAAUAUACCGACAGUGUUUUCUCAUUAACGCUGGACCAGGCGACAUUCCUCAACGUCUCUCCCCAGGUCUGCAGGAGCGAGCGCAGACCAUGGCACAAGAGAAACUCAUGGACUGGAAGGACUUUCUGUUGGUGAAAAGCAAGAGGAAUAUCACCAUGGUGUCAUAUC